CCUACGGGGGGCAGCAGCUAAGAAUAUUCCGCAAUGGGGGGAACCCUGACGGAGCGACGCCGCGUGGACGAUGAAGGUCGGAAGAUUGUAAAGUCCUUUUAUACAUGAAGAAGAAGCUAAGAAGGAAAUGGAAUAGCGGUGACUGUAGUGUAUGAAUAAGCACCGGCUAAUUACGUGCCAGCAGCCGCGGUAACACGUAAGGUGCGAGCGUUGUUCGGAAUUAUUGGGCGUAAAGGGCAUGCAGGCGGUCGUGCAAGCCCGGCGUGAAAGGUGGGGGCUCAACUCCCAAACUGCGCUGGGAACUGUAAGGCUUGAGUUUCUGAAGGGUAGUCGGAAUUCCACGUGUAGGGGUGAAAUCUGUAGAUAUGUGGAAGAACACCAAUGGCGAAGGCAGGCUACCGGCAGAAGACU
rnacentral:rRNA from 1 species